rnacentral:rRNA from 1 species
CSCGCCGCUGSCGGCAGGCUUAAACAUGCAAGUCGAGCGCCCWAAAAGGGGAGUGGCAGACGGGUGAGUAACGCGUGGGAACGUAAAAAAWSAAYACGGAAUAACUCAGGGAAACUUGUGCUAAUWUARAAWRWGCCCUUCGGGGGAAAGAUUUAUCGGCAAAUGAUCGGCCCGCGUUGGAUUAGCUAGUUGGUGGGGUAAAGGCUCACCAAGGCGACGAUCCAUAGCUGGUCUGAGAGGAUGAUCAGCCACACUGGGMCUGAGACACGGCCCAGACUCCUACGGGAGGCAGCAGYGGGGAAUAUUGGACAUUGGGCGCAAGCCUGAYCCAGCCAUGCCGCGUGAGUGAUGAAGGCCCUAGGSUUGUAAAGCUCUUUCAYCGGUGAAGAUAAUGACGGUAACCGGAGAAGAMGCCCCGGCUAACUUMUGCCAGCAUUUUUUUUUAAUAMC